rnacentral:rRNA from 1 species
GUGGGGAAUCUUGGACAAUGGGGGCAACCCUGAUCCAGCCAUGCCGCGUGAACGAUGAAGGCCUUAGGGUUGUAAAGUUCUUUCAGCUGGGAAGAUAAUGACGGUACCAGCAGAAGAAGCCCCGGCUAACUCCGUGCCAGCAGCCGCGGUAAUACGGAGGGGGCUAGCGUUGUUCGGAAUUACUGGGCGUAAAGCGCACGUAGGCGGACCAUCAAGUUGGGGGUGAAAUCCCGGGGCUCAACCCCGGAACUGCCUCCAAGACUGCUGGUCUGGAGGUCGAGAGAGGCGAGUGGAAUUCCGAGUGUAGAGGUGAAAUUCGUAGAUAUUCGGAGGAACACCAGUGGCGAAGGCGGCUCGCUGGCUCGAUACUGACGCUGAGGUGCGAAAGCGUGGGGAGCAAACAGGAUUAGAUACCCUAGUAGUCC